UUUCAAGCCCCAACUAUUGCGUGGCCUGCCUUCCAACAAUCUCUUCAUUGUGACAUCCUUAACCGUUAUUCAUUCACCUCAUCUCCCUCACUUGGUUCUCUCUCUCUCUCUCUCUCUCUCUCUCUCUCUCUCUCUCUCUCUCAUCAUCAUCAUCAUCAUCAUCAUCAUCUCCCUCACUUGGUUCUCUCUCUCUCUCUUAAAAGCCACACCCAAAAAUCCCAACUCUCUCAGCCACAAUCCUCAGGUUUAGACUAUACUAUUAUAUGGUGAUUAUGGGGUUAGAAAGGCUGGUGGUGAAUCUCAAGUCCAAGCUCAUGAGGUCCCUGAAACUGAAGAAGACUUACGACAAGAUCGAAAAGAGCGACAGCAUGAGAGUGGAGAUCAGGAGCAGAAAGGCUCGGCGGAUCGUUGAAGAGACUCUGAAAAUCGCAGACUCCCCCAAGAGCAGAACUUAUGCUUUCUGAGCUUUCUUUUUUUCUUCAUAAAUACUCGCAUAUAUACUUUUUCUAUUUUGAUUUCCGCCAUGGAUUCCCCUAGUAGACAAAUAUAAGGAUGUUAUCUUC